UAUGCUAUUAGAAUCUACUUUCUUAUGAUA
rnacentral:piRNA from 1 species